rnacentral:rRNA from 1 species
GAUGAACGCUGGCGGCGUGCUUAACACAUGCAAGUCGAACGGAAGGGCCCAAGCUUGCUUGGGUACUCGAGUGGCGAACGGGUGAGUAACACGUGGGUGAUCUGCCCUGCACUUCGGGAUAAGCCUGGGAAACUGGGUCUAAUACCGGAUAGGACCACAUUUUGGAUGGUGUGGUGGAAAGUUUUUCGGUGUGGGAUGAGCUCGCGGCCUAUCAGCUUGUUGGUGGGGUAAUGGCCUACCAAGGCGUCGACGGGUAGCCGGCCUGAGAGGGUGUACGGCCACAUUGGGACUGAGAUACGGCCCAGACUCCUACGGGAGGCAGCAGUGGGGAAUAUUGCACAAUGGGCGCAAGCCUGAUGCAGCGACGCCGCGUGGGGGAUGACGGCCUUCGGGUUGUAAACUCCUUUCGCUAGGGACGAAGCGUUAUGUGACGGUACCUGGAGAAGAAGCACCGGCUAACUACGUG